GGAUUGUAGCUCAGUGGUAGAGGGCUUGCCUUGCCCACAUGAGGCACUGGGUUCAAUCCUCAGCACCA
rnacentral:tRNA from 1 species